GGUUUCUGUCAAGGGCUGUCCAGAAGUUGGAUGUUUCUCUAUGACGCUUUUUGCGUAACUCCGUGUCGUCGACACCAAGCUUCUUACAGAACACACCCACCGAUUGUGUAACCGCCACAGACCAAUGGAAAUUCAAAGGUGUUUAGGAGCCAAAACGAACUCCCCCAGAAUGUUGGGGAAACUGCCGAAACAAACUCUAAACGAACUUCGUUUUGGCCUGAUUUUGUUUAAAAUGACGUCAUAUCAGUUCGUUCUUCAUUUUUGUUUGAAGUAUAUCGGGCCCUUCAAUUAUUAUCUACCCCCAGAGUGCAGACUGUUUCGCUCUCUGCCCUGACUUCUGAGUCAUCGACCUCGACUUUGGUGUGCCCUGUCAGGGCUCUGAGGAUUUACAUUGACUGUUCGGCGAGCUUUCUGCAAUCUGGCCAGCUUUACAUGUGCUACGGUGGUUGUGCGAGGACGGGCUGUGUCAAAACAGAGACUUUCCCAGUGGAUUGUGGACGCUAUCACGGCUGCUUAUACGAGCCAAGGUUUGGAAUGCCCUUUUCACUUUAGGGCCCACUUAACAACAGCUAUUGCCUCCUCCCUACUUUUUUGUCAAUUGGCCAGUCAUUUGGACUGGCAUAAGCCAAUAGGACUUUAGGAAAGGUUGGAAGGGAAGGAGUUCCCAUAAAGGAGAAA